rnacentral:rRNA from 1 species
GAUAAACGCUGGCGGCGUGCCUAAUACACGCAAGUCGAGCGAACGGACGAGAAGCUUGCUUCUCUGAUGUUAGCGGCGGACGGGUGAGUAACACGUGGAUAACCUACCUAUAAGACUGGGAUAACUUCGGGAAACCGGAGCUAAUACCGGAUAAUAUUUUGAACCGCAUGGUUCAAAAGUGAAAGACGGUCUUGCUGUCACUUAUAGAUGGAUCCGCGCUGCAUUAGCUAGUUGGUAAGGUAACGGCUUACCAAGGCAACGAUGCAUAGCCGACCUGAGAGGGUGAUCGGCCACACUGGAACUGAGACACGGUCCAGACUCCUACGGGAGGCAGCAGUAGGGAAUCUUCCGCAAUGGGCGAAAGCCUGACGGAGCAACGCCGCGUGAGUGAUGAAGGUCUUCGGAUCGUAAAACUCUGUUAUUAGGGAAGAACAUAUGUGUAAGUAACUGUGCACAUCUUGACGGUACCUAAUCAGAAAGCCACGGCUAACUACGUGCCAGCAGCCGCGGUAAUACGUAGGUGGCAAGCGUUAUCCGGAAUUAUUGGGCGUAAAGCGCGCGUAGGCGGUUUUUUAAGUCUGAUGUGAAAGCCCACGGCCCAACCGUGGAGGGUCAUUGGAAACUGGAAAACUUGAGUGCAGAAGAGGAAAGUGGAAUUCCAUGUGUAGCGGUGAAAUGCGCAGAGAUAUGGAGGAACACCAGUGGCGAAGGCGACUUUCUGGUCUGUAACUGACGCUGAUGUGCGAAAGCGUGGGGAUCAAACAGGAUUAGAUACCCUGGUAGUCCACGCCGUAAACGAUGAGUGCUAAGUGUUAGGGGGUUUCCGCCCCUUAGUGCUGCAGCUAACGCAUUAAGCACUCCGCCUGGGGAGUACGACCGCAAGGUUGAAACUCAAAGGAAUUGACGGGGACCCGCACAAGCGGUGGAGCAUGUGGUUUAAUUCGAAGCAACGCGAAGAACCUUACCAAAUCUUGACAUCCUUUGACAACUCUAGAGAUAGAGCCUUCCCCUUCGGGGGACAAAGUGACAGGUGGUGCAUGGUUGUCGUCAGCUCGUGUCGUGAGAUGUUGGGUUAAGUCCCGCAACGAGCGCAACCCUUAAGCUUAGUUGCCAUCAUUAAGUUGGGCACUCUAAGUUGACUGCCGGUGACAAACCGGAGGAAGGUGGGGAUGACGUCAAAUCAUCAUGCCCCUUAUGAUUUGGGCUACACACGUGCUACAAUGGACAAUACAAAGGGCAGCGAAACCGCGAGGUCAAGCAAAUCCCAUAAAGUUGUUCUCAGUUCGGAUUGUAGUCUGCAACUCGACUACAUGAAGCUGGAAUCGCUAGUAAUCGUAGAUCAGCAUGCUACGGUGAAUACGUUCCCGGGUCU